GUUGCCUGGCUAGCUCCAAAACUGGUAUACAGGGACUUGGGACAACAUUCUGAAUGGAAGCCCGAAGGAAUUCAAAGUUAUGCUUAUAUAGGAGGAGAUGGCGUGCAAUUGCCCAGAGAAAUCCUUGCAGCUUCAACAGCCCUUCCCAAGAAGCCACCCCUUAGAACAGUUACCAAAAAUACGUAAAAUAUUUCCAGCUAUGAAGAAUUCUUUUAGGCGGCGCCGUGACGCGCCUCGGGAACGGUCCUCGGGCGCGCGCCGCUCUCUAACCCUCGGGCCUCAGAAGUCGGUGCCAGUGACUGGAGGCGGCGGCGGCGGCGAGCGGGUCCUUGUGGGCUACAAGAAUCCAGCAAAAAAGUCCCUCUAUCCAUCUCUUGAAGACUUGAAGGUAGACAUCGUAAGUCAGGCUCAAACUGCUUUUUCUGCAAACCCUGCCAACCCAGCAAUUUUGUCAGAAGCUGCUGCUCCUAUCUCUCAAGAUGGAAAUCUCUAUCCCAAACUAUAUCCGGAGCUCUCUCAAUACAUGGAUGAGUCUGACUUGAAAUGAAGAAGAAAUACGUGCAAAUGUGGUCGUGGUUUCUGGUGCAUCAAUUCAGAGGCAGUUGGUAGCAAGACCUUCCGGUAUGAUGUGCAUGGUGAUUCCUGUAACUGAUAAUGAUGCUGGAAUUCGGAAAGCAGAAAUUAAGCAAGGGAUUCGCGAAGUCAUUCUGUGUAAGGAUCAAGAUGGAAAAAUUGGACUCCGGCUCAGAUCAAUAGAUAAUGAUAUAUUUGUUCAGCUAAUCCAGGCUAAUUCUCCAGCCUCAUUGAUUGGUCUGAGAUUUGGGGACCAAGUAUUCCAGAUCAGUGGUGAAAACUGCAGGGUGGAGCUCUAAUAAAGCGCACAAGGUGCUCAAACAGGCUUUUGGAGAGAAGAUUACCACGACAUGACAAUUCGUGACAGGCCCUUUGAACGGAAGAUUACCAUGCAUAAGGAUAGCACUGGACAUGUUGGUUUUACCUUAAAAACGGAAAAAUAGGCUGGGCGUGGUUGCUCACGCCUGUAAUCUCAGCACUUUGGGAGGCCACGGCGGGUGGAUCACGAGGUCAGGAGUUCAAGACCAGCCUGACCAACAUGGUGAAACCCCCGUCUCUACUAAAAAUACAAAAAUUAGCCGGGCAUGGUGGCGGGAGCCUGUAAUCUCAGCUACUCAGGAGGCUGAGGCAGGAGAAUCGCUUAAACCCGGAAGGCGGAGUUUGCAGUGACUGGAGAUCAGGCCACUGCACUGCACUCCAGCCUGGGCAACAGAGUGAGACUGCGUCUCAAAAAAAAAAAAAAAAAAAAUUAGUUGAGCAUGGUGGCAGGCGCCUGGCUACUUGGGAGGCUGAGGCAGGAGAAUCGCUUGAACCUGAGAGGUGGAGGUUGCAGUGAGCCCAGAUCUCACCAUUGCACUCCUGCCUGGGUGAAAAGAGCAAGACUCCGUCUCAAAAAAAAAAAAAAAAAAGAAAAAAAAAAGAAAA